UCCGAUAUGGUGUAGUGGCUAACAUUAUUGCCUCUCAUUUCCCCUCGUACUUUAGGAUGCGCAAUAGCCCGGGGUUCGAUUCCCCGUAUCGGAA